UUUGUAGUGGUGGUGGUGCAAGGGUCGUGAGAAAGAGGAGGUAGAUAUGAAGGAAAUGGGAGUUGGGUUCUUGGCUGGAAAAUUUGUAAUGGUGGUGUGAUAGUGGUGGCUCUUAUGGGGUUGGAGUGGGAGAGCUAAGGAGAAGGUGGUGAUGGAGGUGGUGUAAGAAAGGGGAAAAGAUGGAUAAUCAUUAAUGUGUGUGUGAAACUACUAGAAGAUAUAAUUAUCUUAGAUUACUUGUAAACAAAAGUGGCUGUAGUUUAGUGGUUAGAAUUCCACGUUGUGGCCGUGGAGACCUGGGCUCGAAUCCCAGCAGCCACAAUUUUUUUCUCUCUCGAAACAUUCAAAAAUCAUGCCUUAAAUUAAAAACAAAUAUCAUUAAUCAUAAUAUAUACUUAAUCUUUAACAACUACCAAAAAUUUUACGGUAUAUAUUUCCAGCUUCCUUUGAAAAUCAACUCAAUCUCUUUUUUUUCUCUCUCUCCUCCUCCCAUAAUCAUAGAUUCAACUUCAACUUAAUCAACAUUCUCAAGAUGAUUGACGAUCAGUUCCUGGGAUUUUUCGCCAAUUCUAUGGGAAUCUGCUUGUUCAUGCUUGUCAUUGCUUACCAUUAUGUAAUGGCUGAUCCCAGAUAUGAAGCCAACUGAAAAACUUAAUGUCUCUGGAGGUGCUUCUAAAUCGAGCUUGAAUGUAAUGUGUUCUAGAUUAUGUUAAUGCAUACACUAUGUUACAUGCUCUAGAUGAUUUUUUGUUGACAGUUCGAUGAUAAACCCCUCCUGUUAUUUCUUUGUGAUGUACAAGAAUCUAAAGUGAAGUUGGAGAUGCGGGCUUAAGCUUGCUGAAUGAAGAUGAAUCUGUGGAGAUUGAAUGAUAUCGUUAUUUUUAUACCUUGAAUCUGCAAGUUGUAAAAUAGUGCAUGAAAUUAUGUCAAAAUGGUUGUCCUGGUUUAGGGAUGGCAUGUAGGUAUAAGUUCGUGUAAGUUGUAAUAGCACUGCAUUUACCCAACUGGAGUGGAUAUGGGUAUGACUUUGAUGGAUAGCAGAUGCCAGGUGGGUGUGGAUGUAAAAGUCAUAACUGCGAUGGGUUGUGGUUAAGUGUGGCUCUAAUAGUUUCCCCGCCCUAUGUCCACCUGCACCAUAUUGCACUACAUCAAUCGUUUGGAUCCAUACAAUUCUAGUGGAAUAAUAGAGGUGUCACGUGACGUGCAUAUUAUUAUUAUUAGGGAUAUUCCAUUUGGUACCAUUGUAUUUUUGACUUUUUCAUUUGAUACCAUUAUUUUUCAGAUAUUCUAUAUGGUACUAUUAUAAUUUGAUUUUA